rnacentral:rRNA from 1 species
GAUGAACGCUAGCGGCAGGCCUAACACAUGCAAGUCGAGGGGUAGCAGGAUUAAGCUUGCUUAAUUGCUGACGACCGGCGCACGGGUGCGUAACGCGUAUGCAACCUACCUUAUACUGGGGUAUAGCCCGGAGAAAUUCGGAUUAAUCCCCCAUAGUACUAAUGAAUCGCAUGGUUUAUUAGUUAAAGCAUUGCGGUAUAAGAUGGGCAUGCGUCCUAUUAGCUAGGUGGUGAGGUAACGGCUCACCAUGGCUACGAUAGGUAGGGGGCCUGAGAGGGUGGUCCCCCACACUGGUACUGAGACACGGACCAGACUCCUACGGGAGGCAGCAGUGAGGAAUAUUGGUCAAUGGGCGCAAGCCUGAACCAGCCAUGCCGCGUGCAGGAAGAAUGCCCUAUGGGUUGUAAACUGCUUUUAUUUGGGAAUAAACCUCUUUACGUGUAGAGAGCUGAAGGUACCAAAUGAAUAAGCACCGUCUAACUCCGUGCCAGCAGCCGCCGUAA